AAAAGUUCAUCAUAGCACGUUGAAUGCACCGGUUCCCAACCCGGUUCACUGGUGUGAAGCAACGUUGAGCGUGGUUGGUAACUGGACGGGUGGCGUUCUAGGACAUCUAUGCCUGGCUAUUU
rfam:Asian citrus Psyllid, Diaphorina citri - Florida Strain, whole genome shotgun sequence.